ACGGAAGGCAGCAGUGGGGAAUAUUGCACAAUGGGCGCAAGCCUGAUGCAGCGACGCCGCGUGAGCGAAGAAGUAUUUCGGUAUGUAAAGCUCUAUCAGCAGGGAAGAUAAUGACGGUACCUGACUAAGAAGCACCGGCUAAAUACGUGCCAGCAGCCGCGGUAAUACGUAUGGUGCAAGCGUUAUCCGGAUUUACUGGGUGUAAAGGGGGCGUAGGCGGUCAUGCAAGUCUGAUGUGAAAACCCGGGGCUCAACUUCGGGAUUGCAUUGGAAACUGUAAGACUAGAGUGUCGGAGGGGUAAGUGGAAUUCCUAGUGUAGCGGUGAAAUGCGUAGAUAUUAGGAGGAACACCAGUGGCGAAGGCGGCUUACUGGACGAUUACUGACGCUGAGGCUCGAAAGCGUGGGGAGCAAACAGGAUUAGAUACCCUGGUA
rnacentral:rRNA from 1 species